rnacentral:tRNA from 4 species
CCGGGAUUGGUUUAACGGUAGAAUCUACGGUUCGGGACCGUAGGACGGAAGUUCGACUCUUCCAUCCCGGA